rnacentral:rRNA from 1 species
GACGAACGCUGGCGGCGUGCUUAACACAUGCAAGUCGAACGGAAAGGCCCUGCUUUUGUGGGGUGCUCGAGUGGCGAACGGGUGAGUAACACGUGAGUAACCUGCCCUUGACUUUGGGAUAACUUCAGGAAACUGGGGCUCAUACCGGAUAGGAGCUCCUGCUGCAUGGUGGGGGUUGGAAAGAUUCGGCGGUUGGGGAUGGACUCGCGGCUUAUCAGCUUGUUGGUGGGGUAGUGGCUUACCAAGGCUUUGACGGGUAGCCGGCCUGAGAGGGUGACCGGCCACAUUGGGACUGAGAUACGGCCCAGACGCCUACGGGAGGCAGCAGUGGGGAAUAUUGCACAAUGGGCGGAAGCCUGAUGCAGCAACGCCGCGUGCGGGAUGACGGCCUUCGGGUUGUAAACCGCUUUCGCCUGUGACGAAGCGUGAGUGACGGUAAUGGGUAAAGAAGCACCGGCUAACUACGUG